rnacentral:rRNA from 1 species
ACUCAAAUGAAUUGACGGGGGCCCGCACAAGCGGUGGAGCAUGUGGUUUAAUUCGAUGCAACGCGAAGAACCUUACCUACCCUUGAAUCCACAGAAUCUUUCAGAGAUGAGAGAGUGCCUUCGGGAACUGUGAGACAGGUGCUGCAUGGCUGUCGUCAGCUCGUGUCGUGAGAUGUUGGGUUAAGUCCCGUAACGAGCGCAACCCUUUUCCUUAGUUGCCAGCGAGUAAUGUCGGGGACUUUAAGGAUACUGCCGGUGAUAAACCGGAGGAAGGUGGGGAUGAGGUCAAGUCAUCAUGGCCCUUAUGGGUAGGGCUACACACGUGCUACAAUGGCCGGUACAGAGGGUUGCCAACCCGCGAGGGGGAGCUAAUCUCAGAAAGCCGGUCAUAGUCCGGAUUGGAGUCUGCAACUCGACUCCAUGAAGCAGGAAUCGCUAGUAAUCGCGGAUCAGAACGCCGCGGUGAAUACGUUCACGGGCCUUGUACACACCGCCCGU